CAAACCGCGCUCUGCCUAGCAUUGGGGGUGACAGAGGUCCUUCCCACCGUGGAUAAGAGGGCAAGGGGGGCAGUUGACGGACUCCUGGGGCCUCCCCUUCCCUCGGCCCCUGCCUACCUAGCCCAGCCCAGAGUUGGGCCUCCUCGCCUCUCCGUAUUCCACUUCCUCCCCGGGUUGGGAGCCAAAGAAAGGUUGGCAGCCGGUCCGUUGGCUCUCUUUUGCCCCCUCGUGGAUCUGAUGGCUACUCCAGAUGUAGGCAUCACAUCUACAUAUCUACAUAGAAGCUGGGGAGACGCAAAGAAGGUUUGAACCGAGACAUCAGCUCUUCUUGGGUCUGGAUCCUGCCAGCCUUUGGAUGGGAACCACACCAGCACAAUCCUGGGUAUCAGGCCUUUGGAUUUGGACAAGAACAAAACCACUGGCUCUCUUGGAUCUCCAGCUUGCUGACUCACCCUGUAGUACUUGGGACUUGCUUUCUUCCAUAAUCACAUGAGCCAAUUCCUUAUAAGCAAUCAAUCAAUCAAUCCUAUUGGUUCUAUUUCCAUGGAGAACCCUAAUACAGAAUAAUAUUGUCAUAAUUGGUUCGAAGUGCUAUACUACGGAAGUAUGAGUCAUUUGUAUAAUUCUAAGUCUUCUCGUAGCCGCAUUAAAAACAUAAA